CACAACCUUGUAUGUGGAGCUGCUACUCUACAGGCUCGCGAAGCCACAUCAUACUCGCUCAAUAAUAACAAGCCACAACUACCACCAAUAACCAGUGGAGUCUGCAACUGGGUUUUCUUUACAACCUCCAGAUUGACUUGUUUUCCUUGGUGGGUAAUCUUUGAUUCAUCUAGUCAUGGCCUCCUUAAUGCUCAAUGGAGCUGAGAACUUCACUCUCAUGAGCGGCAUAACCCCAAAAGGGUUAGGUUUUUUGGGUUCGGAUUUUCAUGGGAACCACUUUCCUAGAGUGAAUUUAAUCAGUAGCUCUAGAAUCUCCAGGACAAGAACAGUGAUGCCCAAGUGCAAUUUAUCAGCCUCUAGGCCAGCUUCUCAGCCCAGGUUCAUCCAACACAAGAAAGAGGCUUUUUGGUUCUACCGGUUCCUGUCAAUUGUAUAUGAUCAUGUGAUAAAUCCUGGGCACUGGACUGAGGACAUGAGAGACGAUGCGCUAGAGCCUGCGGAUCUCAAUAACAGGAAUUUGCUAGUUGUAGAUGUUGGCGGUGGCACCGGUUUCACUACUUUGGGUAUUGUAAAGCAUGUGGAUGCCCAAAAUGUUACCAUUCUUGAUCAGUCCCCGCAUCAGCUUGCAAAGGCCAAGCAGAAGGAGCCCUUAAAGGAUUGUAAGAUAAUUGAGGGCGACGCAGAGGAUCUGCCAUUUCCUACUGAUUAUGCGGACAGAUAUGUGUCCGCUGGGAGGUAUGUCUCUUAUUUGAAUUGAAUUUCAAAGUUUGGUUAUUUGAUGCUCUAUUCAAUUGGUGUGAUGAUUUUCUUUGGCUUGUGACUUGAUGGCUGGACUGUACCGCUGUAGUCAUGGUUCCAUUUCUGCAAAUUGUAUGAUCAGAUUGAGCUGUUAUUAACUAAUUAUUAUUUUUUAGCACUGCUUAUGCCGUAGAGCAAUUCUUUCUGUCAAGUUUCCAUUCAUCAAUGAUGCUUUUCUGUAACUUUUGCAAGAGGUGAGGUCAAAUUGGUACAUGCACCUAUGUAUUUUACCAUGUAUCUGAGUGUGUGUGAAUUAGUUAUGUGCCAUGGAUGUGAUAAAAGUUUGAAAUGAGAAUUGCUAAGGAGUGCAUAGAGGCAAUUUGGUAACUACAUAUUUUGUCUGUUUGAACCGGAUAAUGGUAGAUUCACAAGAGAAAAGUAAACUUCAUAUUUAUAUUGAACUUUGAGUCAACUUCCCUAGUAAUGGAACUUACACAAUUGCAUCUUUUCAGUAUUGAGUACUGGCCAGACCCACAACGUGGCAUCAAGGAAGCAUACAGGGUCCUGAAACUAGGAGGAAAAGCCUGCUUAAUUGGUCCAGUAUAUCCAACAUUUUGGUUGUCUCGCUUCUUUGCAGAUGUAUGGAUGCUCUUCCCAAAGGAAGAAGAGUACAUUGAAUGGUUUGAAAAGGCUGGGUUUAAGGAUGUUCAACUGAAGCGUAUUGGCCCAAAAUGGUAUCGUGGUGUUCGCCGGCAUGGGCUAAUCAUGGGAUGUUCUGUGACAGGGGUUAAACCUGCAUCUGGAGAUUCUCCUUUAAAGGUAAUUAUUCUUGUCUCGUUAUGGAUAUCUGGCUAUAGAUAGCACAUAUCAGUUGCUCUCUUGGUGCUUUUGGUUGUGUUUUGUAAUGUAUGGGAGAUAUGAGUUCAAAAACCUGUUGUGUAGCAUUCUUUUAUUUAGCUUUCUACUUUUCUGUUUUAUGGGUAUUGUUGUUAAAAUUUCAAAUGCUGUAGCAGACUAGGAAUUAGAAGGGGAGUGAAAAACUUAGGGAGUGAGAACUCCUAAUCAUAGUGCUAAACUGAAAAUCUACUUCUAUGAUAAAAGACUAUAUUGAUCACUAACAAUAGAAAUCAAAGAGUGGUACCCAAAGAUGGAAAUGGAUCCUUGUAACUUGUUGUCAGGAUUAAAACUACUUGGAAUGGUGGUAAUGCGCAAGUGAUGCUCCUGUUUCUAAUGUUGAUUAAUAUAAUUAGUGAUUGGCGGAGAUAAUCUCUCUAUCAAUUCAAGUGUCUGUCUUAUUAUUUAUUUAUUUCUUACUUUUAUUACAGCUUGGUCCAAAGGAAGAGGACAUAGCAAAGCCAGUGAACCCAUUUGUGUUCCUUCUGCGUUUUAUUUUGGGUGGCUUGGCGGCAGCGUACUAUGUGCUGGUGCCUAUCUACAUGUGGCUUAAAGAUCAAAUUGUACCCAAGGGUAGACCAAUCUGAGACUAAAAGGGAUUUUUAGAGUUCCUUAAGUGGGCCAUUUUAUUUUUAAUUUAUAGACAAUUUCCUCCUGUGUGGGCACACAAGUAAAUUAGACAUAUGCUUUUAAUUAGAUGCCUCUCCUUUGAUUUUUCUAAUUCUAGUUGUGAAAUUCAUUUUUCAUACAGCCGGCCGCUAGUAUUAGUAUUGAAUAUUGAUGUUGAUGGUGAUUUGCAAUCCAAAUUCUCUAACCGCGCGCUGUUGG
rnacentral:misc_RNA from 1 species